AGGGCGUGGUUGGUUUGCCCUUUUUUAUUUUGGAAUCGGAAUCGGAAUGGAUAAAUUCAUGUUUGGUAUGUUAGAUUUUCAUUUCGAUUUUGAUUUUCGGGUGAAUAAAAAUUUCUCCAAUUAUUUUUUCUAAAUCUGGCCUGGAGGCUGAAUUGAAAAUUGAAUCCGUCAAUCCGGACGGAAUGAAUUUGUUUAGAUUAAAUUUAAUUUUUAAAAUUUAUUUUUUUAAUUAAAAUGUAAGUUUAGGUUUAAAAAUUAUAUUUAUAAAUUUAAUUCUAAUUUGAACUUAUAUUAAAAAUUAAAAUUCAAUCAAGUAUUUGAAUUUAAAUGUAAAUUUAAUUUAAAAUCUAAAGUUUUAUUUAAAUUUUUAUUUAAAAAUUUAAACUAAAUUUAUGGAUUCAAAUUGAAAUUUAAAUUAUAAUUUUAAGUUUGAAUUUGAAUAAAUAAAAAUAUAGUUUUAUGUUUUGAAUUACUCGUUCAAUUUAAAAUUUUAAUUUUUUGAAAAAAUAUAUUUAAAAUUAUGACAUUAUUUUAAAAUUAUGAUAGAGAUUUUUUAGUAUUUAAUUUUUAGUUUGAAUUUAGACUAAUAUAUUAUAAAGAUAAAAUUGAUAUAUUAAUUUAAUUAUAUUUUGUAUAUCUAUCUAAAUCAAAUACCGAUAAUAAAAAUAAUUUAUUUCUAUUCCGAUUCAGAUGGCAAACUAAAUAGAAUGAGAUAAUAAAUAAUUUAGAUUUCGUUUUAAGCUUAUUUUUAUUCUGAUACCGUCCAACCAAGCAAAGCUUAAAAGUCGUCGGAAAAUAGGGCAUGUUUUAGUUGUCGGAGCUUUUUUGUUUAACUUUGAACACCCAAGUCUUAGUAGUUUGUCACUUUGUUUAAUUU
rnacentral:lncRNA from 1 species